rnacentral:rRNA from 1 species
CGAAUGCUGACAUAAGUAACGAUAAAGCGGGUGAAAAGCCCGCUCGCCGGAAGACCAAGGGUUCCUGUCCAACGUUAAUCGGGGCAGGGUGAGUCGACCCCUAAGGCGAGGCCGAAAGGCGUAGUCGAUGGGAAACAGGUUAAUAUUCCUGUACUUGGUGUUACUGCGAAGGGGGGACGGAGAAGGCUAUGUUGGCCGGGCGACGGUUGUCCCGGUUUAAGCGUGUAGGCUGGUUUUCCAGGCAAAUCCGGAAAAUCAAGGCUGAGGCGUGAUGACGAGGCACUACGGUGCUGAAGCAACAAAUGCCCUGCUUCCAGGAAAAGCCUCUAAGCAUCAGGUAACAUCAAAUCGUACCCCAAACCGACACAGGUGGUCAGGUAGAGAAUACCAAGGCGCUUGAGAGAACUCGGGUGAAGGAACUAGGCAAAAUGGUGCCGUAACUUCGGGAGAAGGCACGCUGAUAUGUAGGUGAAGUCCCUCGCGGAUGGAGCUGAAAUCAGUCGAAGAUACCAGCUGGCUGCAACUGUUUAUUAAAAACACAGCACUGUGCAAACACGAAAGUGGACGUAUACGGUGUGACGCCUGCCCGGUGCCGGAAGGUUAAUUGAUGGGGUUAGCCGCAAGGCGAAGCUCUUGAUCGAAGCCCCGGUAAACGGCGGCCGUAACUAUAACGGUCCUAAGGUAGCGAAAUUCCUUGUCGGGUAAGUUCCGACCUGCACGAAUGGCGUAAUGAUGGCCAGGCUGUCUCCACCCGAGACUCAGUGAAAUUGAACUCGCUGUGAAGAUGCAGUGUACCCGCGGCAAGACGGAAAGACCCCGUGAACCUUUACUAUAGCUUGACACUGAACAUUGAGCCUUGAUGUGUAGGAUAGGUGGGAGGCUUUGAAGUGUGGACGCCAGUCUGCAUGGAGCCGACCUUGAAAUACCACCCUUUAAUGUUUGAUGUUCUAACGUUGACCCGUGAUCCGGGUUGCGGACAGUGUCUGGUGGGUAGUUUGACUGGGGCGGUCUCCUCCUAAAGAGUAACGGAGGAGCACGAAGGUUGGCUAAUCCUGGUCGGACAUCAGGAGGUUAGUGCAAUGGCAUAAGCCAGCUUGACUGCGAGCGUGACGGCGCGAGCAGGUGCGAAAGCAGGUCAUAGUGAUCCGGUGGUUCUGAAUGGAAGGGCCAUCGCUCAACGGAUAAAAGGUACUCCGGGGAUAACAGGCUGAUACCGCCCAAGAGUUCAUAUCGACGGCGGUGUUUGGCACCUCGAUGUCGGCUCAUCACAUCCUGGGGCUGAAGUAGGUCCCAAGGGUAUGGCUGUUCGCCAUUUAAAGUGGUACGCGAGCUGGGUUUAGAACGUCGUGAGACAGUUCGGUCCCUA